rnacentral:rRNA from 1 species
AUGCAAGUCGAGCGAGAAAGGGGCAACCCGAGUAAAGCGGCGUAAGGGUGAGUAAUAGGUAGUCAACGUAUCCUUCAGACGCGGAUAAUUCCCCGAAAGGGGUUGUAAUACGCGAUGAGACCACACUGGAUCCGUCCGGUGUGAUCAAAGGUUCGGGAUCCUUCGGGACCGAGCGCUGUUGGAGCGGACGACCUCCGAUUAGCUAGAUGGCGGGGUAACGGCCCACCAUGGCGAUGAUCGGUAGCCGGCCUGAGAGGGUGUCCGGCCACACUGGGACUGAGACACUGCCCAGACUCCUACGGGAGGCUGCAGUCGCGAAUCAUUCACAAUGGGCGCAAGCCUGAUGAUGCCACGCCGCGUGCGGGAUGAAGGCCCUUUGGGUUGUAAACCGCUGUCAAGGGAGGGGAAACACACGGUGCGAACAGUGCCGUGCUUGACUGCUCUCUAAAGGAAGCCCCGGCAAAACAUGUGCCAGCAGCCGCGGUAAUACAUGUGGGGCAAGCGUUGUUCGGAAUUACUGGGCAUAAAGGGUGCGUAGGCGGUUUGUUUAGUCACUGGUGAAAGUUUUCGGCCCAACCGGAAAAUUGCCUGUGAUACUGGCGAACUUGAGUGCGUGAGGGGUGGGGGGAACGAGCAGUGUAGCGGUGAAAUGCGUAGAUAUUGCUCGGAAGGCCGGAGCCGAAGGGGCCCCACUGGUACGUAACUGACGCUGAGGCACGAAAGCGUGGGGAGCAAACAGGAUUAGAUACCCUGGUAGUCCACGCCGGAAACGAUGAUCACUAGGUUGGUGCCGAGCUAUCGGUGCCGGCCGCAG